UACGUAGGGUGCAAGCGUUGUCCGGAAUUAUUGGGCGUAAAGAGCUCGUAGGCGGCUUGUCACGUCGACUGUGAAAACCCGAGGCUCAACCUCGGGCCGCAGUGGGUACGGGCAGACUAGAGUGCGGUAGGGGAGAUUGGAAUUCCUGGUGUAGCGGUGGAAUGCGCAGAUAUCAGGAGGAACACCGAUGGCGAAGGCAGAUCUCUGGGCCGUAACUGACGCUGAGGAGCGAAAAGCGUGGGGAGCGAACAGG
rnacentral:rRNA from 1 species